rnacentral:snoRNA from 1 species
UAUUGUGAUGAUUUAUGUUCUACUCAAUCACGACGGUCUACUGACUACUAACAAAUAUUAUUGUUAAUAUAAUGGAGAAAGAGUGGAACUCUGAAU